AUCGCUUCUCGGCCUUUGGCUAAGAUCAAGUGUAGUAUCUGUUCUUAUCAGUUUGGGGAAGUCGUGGCCUAAUGGUUAGAGGGUUGGACUCCCA
rnacentral:snRNA from 1 species